rnacentral:lncRNA from 10 species
CUGAAAUAGAGAUGGCACGGCAGCAAGAAGAGGGUAAGGUGGCUCCUGGAACUAGUGGGAGGAAUAGAUGCAAUCAGAGAGGAGCUCACUCACCAUAAAGGUGCUCUACGUGUAUGAAGUUAUUUAAUACUUAUAACAACUUUAUGAGCUUCAGGUGCCUGGAUGUUGAGGGGCAAAUAGGACUGUUCACUGAAGGAGCUAGAGAAUGGAAGAGAAGGUUGUGUCAGAUAGAAAUAACAGAAGCUUUCUGAAAUGAAAACAGAAAUGUUACAACUUGCACCACAGUACUGGACUGAAACGAAGAUGUAACACAGCCAUAAUAAUUUAAAUUAAUAGCAAAUAAAUAAAGAAAAAAAGAACUUCAUUGUGAGGACCAUAGUCAUGGGAUAGCUCUGUCUUUUCGGGGAAAGUGGAGUAGAGGGACAGAGUCACCCCAGGAGAAAAAAUGCUUAAAUUAAGACUCCCUGAGAGACUGAAUAAGAGUAUGAUUAGUUCAGCCUUGCUUUCAUCCUCCACUUCCCCCUCCCACUGUAGACUUCAGUUUUAAUAAUGAUUAAAGAAUAAUGCCUGAAUCCCAUCUGAAUGGCUUUUGAGAUUUAACUCACUGAAUCUAUUCAUAGCUUUGAGCUUGUAAGGGGGACUGAACAGAUCUGCACAACUAAUCGUGGAAUAUUACACUGAUACUUCAUCUCCCACAUCAAUACCAAUUACGCCUGCACAGAGAGCAUCACAUAUUAUUUUAAUAGGAUAGGAAUUUUUAAUCCAGUCAGGUAGUUCUGGAUGAAUGUGUUUGUAUGUCUGUCAUUAAAAUUUGGUGGCUCAUGCUGCUCAAGACAGACACAUUUUGAAUGUUUAAAAUUUCCACAGAUGUUAUUUAUCCAUCAGGAUGGAAAAUUUCCUGCUCUCCAGUGUAUAGAUUCUGCCUCAUUAACAUAAAUAAAGAAUAAGGCAUAACAACAACAAUCUUGCUUAAUGUGUACACACAGAAAUAUUGUCAUAGGCAUCUGGCAAUCAGUUGGAGACGGUGAAAACUGCUAAAUGAAUGAAAGUGGCAGAACUAGCAGAAGUAUGAGAUCCCAUACUGGAGAAAAAGGCUCACUGUUAAAAUAUUUUGUUUCUUUGUUCUACUCCUUUUUUAUUUUCAAGGCAUUUUAUUCAGCUUGGACCUUCAGAUAAAAG